rnacentral:rRNA from 1 species
UGCUAAUACAUGCAAGUCGAGCGAACGGACGAGAAGCUUGCUUCUCUGAUGUUAGCGGCGGACGGGUGAGUAACACGUGGAUAACCUACCUAUAAGACUGGGAUAACUUCGGGAAACCGGAGCUAAUACCGGAUAAUAUUUUGAACCGCAUGGUUCAAAAGUGAAAGACGGUCUUGCUGUCACUUAUAGAUGGAUCCGCGCUGCAUUAGCUAGUUGGUAAGGUAACGGCUUACCAAGGCAACGAUGCAUAGCCGACCUGAGAGGGUGAUCGGCCACACUGGAACUGAGACACGGUCCAGACUCCUACGGGAGGCAGCAGUAGGGAAUCUUCCGCAAUGGGCGAAAGCCUGACGGAGCAACGCCGCGUGAGUGAUGAAGGUCUUCGGAUCGUAAAACUCUGUUAUUAGGGAAGAACAUAUGUGUAAGUAACUGUGCACAUCUUGACGGUACCUAAUCAGAAAGCCACGGCUAACUACGUGCCAGCAGCCGCGGUAAUACGUAGGUGGCAAGCGUUAUCCGGAAUUAUUGGGCGUAAAGCGCGCGUAGGCGGUUUUUUAAGUCUGAUGUGAAAGCCCACGGCUCAACCGUGGAGGGUCAUUGGAAACUGGAAAACUUGAGUGCAGAAGAGGAAAGUGGAAUUCCAUGUGUAGCGGUGAAAUGCGCAGAGAUAUGGAGGAACACCAGUGGCGAAGGCGACUUUCUGGUCUGUAACUGACGCUGAUGUGCGAAAGCGUGGGGAUCAAACAGGAUUAGAUACCCUGGUAGUCCACGCCGUAAACGAUGAGUGCUAAGUGUUAGGGGGUUUCCGCCCCUUAGUGCUGCAGCUAACGCAUUAAGCACUCCGCCUGGGGAGUACGACCGCAAGGUUGAAACUCAAAGGAAUUGACGGGGACCCGCACAAGCGGUGGAGCAUGUGGUUUAAUUCGAAGCAACGCGAAGAACCUUACCAAAUCUUGACAUCCUUUGACAACUCUAGAGAUAGAGCCUUCCCCUUCGGGGGACAAAGUGACAGGUGGUGCAUGGUUGUCGUCAGCUCGUGUCGUGAGAUGUUGGGUUAAGUCCCGCAACGAGCGCAACCCUUAAGCUUAGUUGCCAUCAUUAAGUUGGGCACUCUAAGUUGACUGCCGGUGACAAACCGGAGGAAGGUGGGGAUGACGUCAAAUCAUCAUGCCCCUUAUGAUUUGGGCUACACACGUGCUACAAUGGACAAUACAAAGGGCAGCGAAACCGCGAGGUCAAGCAAAUCCCAUAAAGUUGUUCUCAGUUCGGAUUGUAGUCUGCAACUCGACUACAUGAAGCUGGAAUCGCUAGUAAUCGUAGAUCAGCAUGCUACGGUGAAUACGUUCCCGGGUCUUGUACACACCGCCCGUCACACCACGAGAGUUUGUAACACCCGAAGCCGGUGGAGUAACCUUUUAGGAGCUAGCCGUCGAAGGUGGACAAAAGG